GGGGGUCCCUAUAGGUCUCCCAUAGGUCACAUAGGGGGUACUAUGGGGGGGGGAUCCCAUAGGUCACAUAUGGGUUCCAUAGGGGGGUCCCUAUAGGUCUCCCAUAGGUUACAUAGGGGUCUCCCAUAGAUCACAUAGGGGUAUCAUGGGGGGGGGACCCCUAUAGGUCUCCCAUAGGUGACAUAGGGGUCCCCCAUAGGGAUACAUUAGGAGGUACUAUGGGGGGGGGUCUCCCAUUAGUCUCAAGGGGUUCCAUAGGAGGGUCCCUAUAGGUCCCCAUAGGUCACUGGAUGUACAUUGUGUGGUGGGGGUCUCCCAUAGGUUACAUAGAGGUCUCUAUAGGUUACAAGGGGUGCCAUGGGGGGGGGGGCAUGGGGGGUCCCUAUAGGUCCCCCAUAUGUUACAUAGGGGUCUCCCAUAGGUCACAUAGGGGUCUCCCAUAGGUCACAUAGGGGUCUCCU
rnacentral:lncRNA from 1 species